AGGAACUGCUCCCAAGUGGCUGGUGUAGGCAGGGUGGUCUGCUUGAGCUCCCACCAACGACCUGCUUCCCCUACCAGCAUAUAGGAAGCAAGGGCAGCUCUCUACUCGGGAACCACUCCCAAGGUCUUGAAAGCUCUCUCAGUCUCCGCCAACCAGUACUGGGCAUCUUUAAAAGAGGAUCCCCCUAUAAAAGUGGAAGGGUUCAGUCUCCUGUACCUCUCUAUGUAGCCUGGGUCGAUCAAGGAAGGAGCUGGGUCCCGUGGAAGAAGGACUAGGCCCGGCUAGGGAUAGACUGGGGGGCCCUGUGGUGGCACCUGCUGAUAUGGUGGGGGCACCGAAUUGUACUGUGUCGGUGCCGGGCAGUACGGUGGCUGGGGCACCGGUUCAUACUGCUUCAGCGGUGCCGGGUGGUACUGUGGUGGAGCAGGCUCGUGCCGUGGUGGCUCGGGAUCCACUUGCUGUAGCGGUGGCUCAACCCGUGGUAGUGGGGGAGGUUC
rnacentral:lncRNA from 1 species